rnacentral:lncRNA from 1 species
AUUUGACAUGGCAGCUCCACCUUCACCCCCACCUCUGGUCCAUGUUGCCUGUUCUUUGUGAUUCUUUUUGCUCCUUCGCUUUUCACUGGAUCCUGGUGGGAACAAGUCCCGAAGUGGAGAGCAGAGCCAGAAGGAUUGAUUUCCAAAAACUCCUGUUACAUGAGGAAGACACCAAGAAGAGCAAAGAAAAGGAGCCAGGGUGGCUCUUCCUCAGGUGAAGUGGAUAUUUCUCGGUGGAUUAAUCUGUCUCUUUCCUUUCUGAAAUGCCAGCUAUCUCUUCCAAAUGCAUGACAAGGAAGUUCUCAUCAAGAAGGCAAGGCAAUACAGAAGUGUUCCACACAGGGACAUUGCAAAGACAAGCAAGUCAUCACACUGGAGAUUUUUCCUUCCAGGAAAUUGAGAAAGAUUUUCAGGACUUUGAGUUUCAGUGGCAAGAAGAUGAAAGAAAUGGCCAUGAAGCACUCAUGACAGAGAUAAAAAAGUUGACAGGAUUUCCAAAGACUCAUGUUACGUGAGGAAGCCACCAAGAAGAGCAAAGAAAAGGAGCCAGGGA